rnacentral:lncRNA from 1 species
GAGCUUUGAUACUAUAGAUAGUAUAGUAGCCUAAUUCUAUAUAUAUAUAGAGCUAGGCUCCUGUGCUUUCGAAAGUACAGAUGCCUCCGUGCUUGUAAGUUAUUUUCGAUGAUGGGACGUCCAAUUCGGCAAUCGGUUCCGUUAAACAUGAUCUACGCUAUUGGAACUAUCUAGAAAUCAAAUUUCAUAAUUUUUUGACUUUGUUUGCUUAAUGAACGAAUAGCCUCAAAAUGAACGGCUGAAAAUAAAAAUUCCAUAAAAAAUAGUGAUAAAGGACUCAAAUUUCAAAUUGAAAGUAUUUUUCUUGCUCUUGAUAUUAAGUAGAAUUUUCUAUUAAAGUUCAUGUAAUUUGAAUACUUCUACACCGUUGAACUUAAAAACGUGUCACAUCGGCCGUUAAAAUAGUCAUUUUUGAGACCCUGUGACUGCUUAGUAAAUAAUGUCGAAAAAUUAUAAAAUUUGGUUUCUAAAUAGUUCUAAUAGCAUAGAUUAUGCCUAACGGAAUCGAUCGUUGAAUCGGAUGCUCUAUCAUUGAAAACAACUUACAAGUACGGAGGCCUUCGUACUUUCGAAAGCACGGGAGACGUACUAUAUAUAUAUAAUAUUGUUAUCUCUCCAAU